rnacentral:lncRNA from 1 species
UGCAGAGGGGGAGGGAGGAAGAUUGGGAGGAGGCAGCCUCACCCCCUCAACACCCAACCCCCUCCUCCUUGGAGGUGCCAGGGAGAGGUGAAGAGAAGAGCAAACCAUGCAGCUGUGGACAGAACUCGCCUCGGGACCUCGGGCUGGGAGUGUCUCAGAGCCUCUCAAAGUGCUGGGAUUACAGGCAUAAGCCACCGCACCCAGGCCCGAGGUUGAGCUUUUGAGUGGCUGUCACCCUACUUUCCACAACAGUCACACCGAUUGCUGUUCCCAUCAGCAGUGCAUGCCAGGCCUCCACAUCCCACCAACACAUGCUGCAGCACUGUCUGACUUCAGCAUCUGAAUGCAUGAGAAGCGGAGUCUCACUGGGGCUGUAAUCUGCAUUCUCCAGUGACCGGCAGUGCCACGCAGCAUCCCCCUGCUCACUGGCCACUGUAUGUCUAUGGAGAAACAUCUGUCCAGACCCAUCGCCCAUCUCUGCACCUUUCUGCUCAUUUCUAAGAGACGAGUUCUCCCUAUGUUGCCCAAGCUGCUCUCAAA